UGCAUGGCAUAAGUUUUUUUUUGGCUCAGAUUGAACGCUGGCGGCAGGCCUAACACAUGCAAGUCGGGCGGUAGCACAAGGGAGCUUGCUCCCUGGGUGACGAGCGGCGGACGGGUGAGUAAUGUCUGGGAAACUGCCUGAUGGAGGGGGAUAACUACUGGAAACGGUAGCUAAUACCGCAUAACGUCGCAAGACCAAAGAGGGGGACCUUCGGGCCUCUUGCCAUCGGAUGUGCCCAGAUGGGAUUAGCUAGUAGGUGGGGUAAAGGCUCACCUAGGCGACGAUCCCUAGCUGGUCUGAGAGGAUGACCAGCCACACUGGAACUGAGACACGGUCCAGACUCCUACGGGAGGCAGCAGUGGGGAAUAUUGCACAAUGGGCGCAAGCCUGAUGCAGCCAUGCCGCGUGUGUGAAGAAGGCCUUCGGGUUGUAAAGCACUUUCAGCGGGGAGGAAGGGAGCAGACUUAAUACGUCUGUUCAUUGACGUUACCCGCAGAAGAAGCACCGGCUAACUCCGUGCCAGCAGCCGCGGUAAUACGGAGGGUGCAAGCGUUAAUCGGAAUGACUGGGCGUAAAGCGCACGCAGGCGGUCUGUUAAGUUGGAUGUGAAAUCCCCGGGCUUAACCUGGGAACUGCAUUCAAAACUGACAGGCUAGAGUCUCGUAGAGGGGGGUAGAAUUCCAGGUGUAGCGGUGAAAUGCGUAGAGAUCUGGAGGAAUACCGGUGGCGAAGGCGGCCCCCUGGACGAAGACUGACGCUCAGGUGCGAAAGCGUGGGGAGCAAACAGGAUUAGAUACCCUGGUAGUCCACGCUGUAAACGAUGUCGAUUUGGAGGUUGUGCCCUUGAGGCGUGGCUUCCGGAGCUAACGCGUUAAAUCGACCGCCUGGGGAGUACGGCCGCAAGGUUAAAACUCAAAUGAAUUGACGGGGGCCCGCACAAGCGGUGGAGCAUGUGGUUUAAUUCGAUGCAACGCGAAGAACCUUACCUACUCUUGACAUCCAGAGAAGCCUGCAGAGAUGCGGGUGUGCCUUCGGGAGCUCUGAGACAGGUGCUGCAUGGCUGUCGUCAGCUCGUGUUGUGAAAUGUUGGGUUAAGUCCCGCAACGAGCGCAACCCUUAUCCUUUGUUGCCAGCACUUCGGGUGGGAACUCAAGGGAGACUGCCGGUGAUAAACCGGAGGAAGGUGGGGAUGACGUCAAGUCAUCAUGGCCCUUACGAGUAGGGCUACACACGUGCUACAAUGGCGUAUACAAAGAGAAGCGACCUCGCGAGAGCAAGCGGACCUCAUAAAGUACGUCGUAGUCCGGAUUGGAGUCUGCAACUCGACUCCAUGAAGUCGGAAUCGCUAGUAAUCGUAGAUCAGAAUGCUACGGUGAAUACGUUCCCGGGCCUUGUACACACCGCCCGUCACACCAUGGGAGUGGGUUGCAAAAGAAGUAGGUAGCUUAACCUUCGGGAGGGCGCUUACCACUUUGUGAUUCAUGACUGGGGUGAAGUCG
rnacentral:rRNA from 1 species